CGCAAGUGUAUUCCUAUACUGUUGCGUUUAAAUAGCUCGUAGUUGGAUCUGCGUGUUUAGCGCUUGGUGUCAUUUCUCAAUGACUACUGAGACGCGACACAAUAUGCUUUCGUCAUGUUUUAUAAGCAUGGAGAUAGCAAGUUUACUUUGAACAAAUCAGAGUGCUCAAAACGGGCGUUUCGCUCGGAUGUUCUUGCAUGGAAUAAUGGAAUAGGACCUCGCGUGCUAUUUUGUUGGUCUUCGGGACGCGGGUAAUGAUUAAGAGGGACAGACGGGGGCAUUUGUACUGCGACGUGAGAGGUGAAAUUCUUGGAUCGUCGCAAGACACACUACUGCGAAAGCAUUUGCCAAGAAUGUUUUCAUUAA
rnacentral:rRNA from 1 species